UAUAUGACUCUCGGCAACGGAUAUCUUGGCUYUSGCAUCGAUGAAGAASGUAGRGAAAUGCGAUACUUGGUGUGAAUUGCAGAAUCCCGCGAACCAUYGAGUCUUUGAACGCAAGUUGCGCCCGAGGCUAUCCGGCCGAGGGCACGCCUGCCUGGGCGUCA
rnacentral:rRNA from 1 species